CAACAAGAUAACGGUGUAAGUUGUUCUAUGAUCAAGCUAUACAAUUCCAAGUCGUCCAUAACCGCGGACACGGCUUAUCGAUAAGAUGUACACCCUGCAGGGGUUGCCCAAAUGUAACCAUACGCAUGCUCGAACCCACUUACUACAGGUGGAGUCUCACAUCAAGACCGUUCCCAAUGCAAGAGAAAGUUUAAUGGGAGCCACCCAACUAAGCUACCCGUGACGAAGUUCGGCCGUACUCCGAUACGGACCCAGAGGUUGCGAUGGCGUCCAAGGCGGGCACUAACGACCGGCCAAGGAUAAGUCGGCACGCAAUAUGAGUACAGUACAGAAUAUAAACACCCGAAGGCAACAGGAAGUAAAUCGUGCAUCGUGCAUAUGAGCAAAUAAAACCAAGGUUGUGGCUCCCAAUAAACAGACUCGAGGAAAGGUAGUGGGUGAUGGGGGUCCCACUCCCCCACGUACGGGUAGAGCGCUCAAUCUCGGAACAGAUAACAAGAACUCGGGUCCUAGGGGACAUUAGCAAGUCAAAGUUCCAAUGCUUUCGCAAAGGGGCUCACAGAUGCCUCUGC